AAUAGUAGGUUAGCCACCCAUUGAUCCCAUAAAAGGUCCAUGGACAUUCCAUCCCCCAUAAGCUAUCUCAUCUAAGUAAUCACAUCGGGGGCUCCCUGAUAAAUCUCCUUUAAGAGGAAAAAGCUACUCCGACUGGCUUGGAUCUCCUCAAUAAUAGGCCAAGGACCGUAUCGGGCUCUCAUCAUCAAGCUCUACAGACUCUCCAAUGAAAAUAGCAAUCUAGCUACAGUCGAGCAAUCAGGGCCUCCUAUCUGGUCACCAAGGACUGGAUGCCCAGUCCACCAUCUCUCAAUAGCUGGCAGAGAAUAUCCCAGGAU
rnacentral:lncRNA from 1 species